UACGUAGGGGGCUAGCGUUGUCCGGAUUUAUUGGGCGUAAAGAGCGUGUAGGCGGCCAGGUAGGUCUGCUGUGAAAACUCGAGGCUUAACCUCGAGAUGUCGGCGGAAACCAUCUGGCUAGAGUCCGGAAGAGGAGAGUGGAAUUCCUGGUGUAGCGGUGAAAUGCGUAGAUAUCGGAAGGAACAUCAGUGGCGAAAGCGACUUCCUGGACCAGUACCGACGUUCAGGCACGAAAGCGUGGGGAGCAAACAGG
rnacentral:rRNA from 1 species